rnacentral:rRNA from 1 species
UCAAAUCAGGUAGGACUACCCGCUGAACCUUAAGCAUAUCAAAUAA